rnacentral:rRNA from 1 species
AACGAACGCUGGCGGCAUGCCUAACACAUGCAAGUCGAACGAGACCUUCGGGUCUAGUGGCGCACGGGUGCGUAACGCGUGGGAACCUGCCCUUAGGUUCGGAAUAACUCCCCGAAAGGGGUGCUAAUACCGGAUAAUGUCUUCGGACCAAAGAUUUAUCGCCCUUGGAUGGGCCCGCGUUGGAUUAGCUAGUUGGUAGGGUAAAAGCCUACCAAGGCGACGAUCCAUAGCUGGUCUGAGAGGAUGAUCAGCCACACUGGGACUGAGACACGGCCCAGAAUCCUACGGGAGGGAGCAGUGGGGAAUAUUGGACAAUGGGGGAAAGCCUGAUGCAGCAAUGCCGCGUGAGUGAUGAAGGCCUUAGGGUUGUAAAGCUCUUUUACCCGGGAUGAUAAUGACAGUACCGGGAGAAUAAGCUCCGGCUAACUCCGUG